GCUGCGGGCUGACUAGAAGUUCACCUGAGGCAUAGAGGGGGGAGGGUUUCCCGCUGUCGGUGUCGGGCUCCUGCUGAAUUUUUAAAAGCCAGGGUGCAGAAGGACUGGUAAUAAAAAACAAAAACAGAGUAGGAAUUGUUGCACAAGCGUUUGUCACCAUGUAAAACUUCAACAGGGUUAGGAACGCUGAAUACACAAAGAUGAUGAAGAUGUUUCCGCGAGGACAGCAGCUCAGGUUCCACCAGAUGCUGCAUCUCAUGUGGCCAGAACUGAAGCUCAUCUUCACCUUCAGCAUUCUCCAGAACAGUGGGAGUGAAUGAGCUUGGAACCACUGUUUCAGACAAGACUCAUUGUCCUCAGUUAGACCCAGGUACAUGGAGUCCUUGGUCACAGGAGGAUGUGGAUAGAACUUUCCAGGUCAGGACAGAUGAAGCUUCUUGUAGCCCAAAACCAUGAUGUGAGAAGUAUGCCCCUUGUGUGAGCA